rnacentral:tRNA from 1 species
AAUGGCCGAGUGGUCCAAAGGCACCAGACUCGAGUUCUGGCCUACGUGAGAGGGCGUGGGUUCAAAUCCCACUU